rnacentral:rRNA from 1 species
AUACGUAGGUGGCAAGCGUUGUCCGGAAUUAUUGGGCGUAAAGCGCGCGCAGGUGGUUCCUUAAGUCUGAUGUGAAAGCCCCCGGCUCAACCGGGGAGGGUCAUUGGAAACUGGGGAACUUGCGUGCAGAAGUGGAUAGUGGAAUUCCAAGUGUAGCGGUGAAAUGCGUAGAGAUUUGGAGGAACACCAGUGGCGAAGGCGACUGUCUGGUCUGUAACUGACACUGAGGCGCGAAAGCGUGGGGAGCAAACAGGAUUAGAUACCCUGGUAGUCCACGCCGUAAACGAUGAGUGCUAAGUGUUGGGGGGUUUCCGCCCCUCAGUGCUGCAGCUAACGCAUUAAGCACUCCGCCUGGGGAGUACGGUCGCAAGACUGAAACUCAAAUGAAUUGACGGGG